GAUGAACGCUAGCGGCAGGCCUAAUACAUGCAAGUCGAACGAUAGUUGAGAGCUUGCUCUUGACGAAAGUGGCGCACGGGUGCGUAACGCGUAUGCAACCUACCUUAAUCAGGGGGAUAGCCCGAAGAAAUUCGGAUUAACACCGCAUAAAAACACAGGAUAGCAUUAUCCAAUGUUCAAAUAUUUAUAGGAUUAAGAUGGGCAUGCGUGUCAUUAGCUAGUUGGCGGGGUAACGGCCCACCAAGGCGACGAUGACUAGGGGAUCUGAGAGGAUGACCCCCCACACUGGUACUGAGACACGGACCAGACUCCUACGGGAGGCAGCAGUAAGGAAUAUUGGUCAAUGGAGGCAACUCUGAACCAGCCAUGCCGCGUGCAGGAAGACAGCCCUCUGGGUCGUAAACUGCUUUUAUUCGGGAAUAAACCUCAUUACGUGUAAUGAGCUGAAUGUACCGAAGGAAUAAGGAUCGGCUAACUCCGUGCCAGCAGCCGCGGUAAUACGGAGGAUCCAAGCGUUAUCCGGAUUUAUUGGGUUUAAAGGGUGCGUAGGCGGCUUAUUAAGUCAGGGGUGAAAGACGGUGGCUCAACCAUCGCAGUGCCCUUGAUACUGAUGAGCUUGAAUGGACUAGAGGUAGGCGGAAUGUGACAAGUAGCGGUGAAAUGCAUAGAUAUGUCACAGAACACCGAUUGCGAAGGCAGCUUACUAUGGUUUAAUUGACGCUGAGGCACGAAAGCGUGGGGAUCAAACAGGAUUAGAUACCCUGGUAGUCCACGCCCUAAACGAUGAAUACUCGCUGUUAGCGAUAUACAGUUAGCGGCUAAGCGAAAGCGUUAAGUAUUCCACCUGGGGAGUACGCCCGCAAGGGUGAAACUCAAAGGAAUUGACGGGGGCCCGCACAAGCGGAGGAGCAUGUGGUUUAAUUCGAUGAUACGCGAGGAACCUUACCCGGGCUUGAAAGUUAGUGAAUGAUUUAGAGAUAGAUCAGUGAGCAAUCACACGAAACUAGGUGCUGCAUGGCUGUCGUCAGCUCGUGCCGUGAGGUGUUGGGUUAAGUCCCGCAACGAGCGCAACCCCUAUGUUUAGUUGCCAGCACGUUAAGGUGGGGACUCUAAACAGACUGCCUGUGCAAACAGAGAGGAAGGAGGGGACGGCGUCAAGUCAUCAUGGCCCUUACGUCCGGGGCUACACACGUGCUACAAUGGAUGGUACAGAGGGCAGCUAGCUGGUAACAGCAUGCGAAUCUCACAAAGCCAUUCACAGUUCGGAUAGAGGUCUGCAACUCGACCUCUUGAAGUUGGAUUCGCUAGUAAUCGCGUAUCAGCAAUGACGCGGUGAAUACGUUCCCGGGCCU
rnacentral:rRNA from 1 species